UUGCAAUGAUGUGUGAAUUUCUUCACCUGACCAAAUUAUGAAGAUCACAUCACAAACGAGCUUUUUAAAUCUGAGCAAA